UCCUUUCUACCUGCCUGGGCUCUCUGAC
rnacentral:piRNA from 1 species